AAAGUCUGUAUGCAGCCAUUUUGCAUUGUGUCACUUGCAGGGAAAUUCAAAAUAUGCUUGGAUGUUUACAUUAACAGAUUUAUGGAUUCGUAAAUUACAAUACGGUGCUGCAAAAUAUCCAACAGUGAUUGGCUUGUUUCGAUUGCCGGAAAAGAGAUCGUAUGGUCCUCGCAAACUGACUACCUUCGAUGCCAUGUCAUCUGUGAAACUGUUGAAGUGAUACGUUCCCGGUCCCAAUCCAGAACCCUAAAAGAGAACAUGAAGAAUGCAAGAUAUAUUUUCAUUAACUAGAAAACAAACCAUGUAAAAUGAUGAAAACUAAUUUCUGUGUUUGGUGUUGACAUAUUCUAGUAUUUCCAUUUUAUUGUUCUUUGUUUAUUACUACAUGCAGUUUUCUGUUAACUGUUCUAUAAACGUAAUCCAGCAUCAGAUAACUGAACACACUGCAUAUCGUCAGAGCACUUGACAUCAGAUUCUGACGAGUUUUAUUUCACUGUAUUCUGCCUUAUAAACUUUGAGCAAUGACUUAUUGCUAACAUACUCUCAUACAACCAGUGGUUGUUGGUGCCUUGGGAUUGGCCAGUAUUAUUACCAACAGAGAAUAAAGAACCUUUGGAAAGCACCUAUGGAAGAGUAGAGAAAGCAUCUUGCCUUUCUGUUGCUCAAAACAAGUUAUAUACAUUUUUAUAUAGCCUAUCUUCUAAGCUGUUGUUUGCCAAAUUGCCAAAUGCAAAUUAAAGUUAAUUUAGCAAAUA